AUAGUUUUAAGUAAAAUCUGCUCUAUGAAUAAUUUAAUGGCCGCAGAAUUUUUACUGUGCUAAGGUAGCAUAAUCAUUUACCUUUUAAUUAAAGGUUUGUAUGAAAGAUUUAACAUUUAAAUUACUUUUUUAUUUAAAUAUUUUAAAUUUUAAUUAAAUAUUAAAAUAUAUUUAUAUUUUAAAAAGACGAUAAGACCCUAUUGAACUUUACUUGUGUUAAGCUGGGGUAGCUAAUUAAAUACCAUUUUAAUUAAAUAAAACAAAAAUAUUUCUAAUAAAAUUAAAUAUAAAAGUUACCAUAGGGAUAACAGCGUUAUAUUAUUUUAAAGAUCAUAUUCAAAAUAAUGUUUACGACCUCGAUGUUGAAUUAAAUUUCCUUAAAAACGCAAUAGUAGAAAAGGGGGUCGU
rnacentral:rRNA from 1 species